rnacentral:rRNA from 2 species
CAAGUCGAACGAACUCUGGUAUUGAUUGGUGCUUGCAUCAUGAUUUACAUUUGAGUGAGUGGCGAACUGGUGAGUAACACGUGGGAAACCUGCCCAGAAGCGGGGGAUAACACCUGGAAACAGAUGCUAAUACCGCAUAACAACUUGGACCGCAUGGUCCGAGCUUGAAAGAUGGCUUCGGCUAUCACUUUUGGAUGGUCCCGCGGCGUAUUAGCUAGAUGGUGGGGUAACGGCUCACCAUGGCAAUGAUACGUAGCCGACCUGAGAGGGUAAUCGGCCACAUUGGGACUGAGACACGGCCCAAACUCCUACGGGAGGCAGCAGUAGGGAAUCUUCCACAAUGGACGAAAGUCUGAUGGAGCAACGCCGCGUGAGUGAAGAAGGGUUUCGGCUCGUAAAACUCUGUUGUUAAAGAAGAACAUAUCUGAGAGUAACUGUUCAGGUAUUGACGGUAUUUAACCAGAAAGCCACGGCUAACUACGUGCCAGCAGCCGCGGUAAUACGUAGGUGGCAAGCGUUGUCCGGAUUUAUUGGGCGUAAAGCGAGCGCAGGCGGUUUUUUAAGUCUGAUGUGAAAGCCUUCGGCUCAACCGAAGAAGUGCAUCGGAAACUGGGAAACUUGAGUGCAGAAGAGGACAGUGGAACUCCAUGUGUAGCGGUGAAAUGCGUAGAUAUAUGGAAGAACACCAGUGGCGAAGGCGGCUGUCUGGUCUGUAACUGACGCUGAGGCUCGAAAGUAUGGGUAGCAAACAGGAUUAGAUACCCUGGUAGUCCAUACCGUAAACGAUGAAUGCUAAGUGUUGGAGGGUUUCCGCCCUUCAGUGCUGCAGCUAACGCAUUAAGCAUUCCGCCUGGGGAGUACGGCCGCAAGGCUGAAACUCAAAGGAAUUGACGGGGGCCCGCACAAGCGGUGGAGCAUGUGGUUUAAUUCGAAGCUACGCGAAGAACCUUACCAGGUCUUGACAUACUAUGCAAAUCUAAGAGAUUAGACGUUCCCUUCGGGGACAUGGAUACAGGUGGUGCAUGGUUGUCGUCAGCUCGUGUCGUGAGAUGUUGGGUUAAGUCCCGCAACGAGCGCAACCCUUAUUAUCAGUUGCCAGCAUUAAGUUGGGCACUCUGGUGAGACUGCCGGUGACAAACCGGAGGAAGGUGGGGAUGACGUCAAAUCAUCAUGCCCCUUAUGACCUGGGCUACACACGUGCUACAAUGGAUGGUACAACGAGUUGCGAACUCGCGAGAGUAAGCUAAUCUCUUAAAGCCAUUCUCAGUUCGGAUUGUAGGCUGCAACUCGCCUACAUGAAGUCGGAAUCGCUAGUAAUCGCGGAUCAGCAUGCCGCGGUGAAUACGUUCCCGGGCCUUGUACACACCGCCCGUCACACCAUGAGAGUUUGUAACACCCAAAGUCGGUGGG